rnacentral:RNase_P_RNA from 1 species
CACGCAGGCCGCCUUAUCGCCGUUUUGAGCAAUCAAGAAGGAGGAAAGUCCGGACACCACAGAGAAGCAUAGCGGGUAACACCCGUCGGUUCGAGCAAGCGGAUUAGGACAAGUGCAACAGAAAGUAUGUACAGGUAAUGCUGUAGUGAAACCAGGUAAACUCUAUGCGGUGAAAUAUCAAGUAUAUCAGCAUUUAAGGGCUUCUCGUCCGUUGCUGAAGGGUAGAUAGCUUGAGUCCCGCAGUAAUGCGGGAUCUAGAUAAAUGAUAAGGCUCUAAUUUAUUAGAGACAGAAUCCGGCUUAUAGGUCUGCUUUUUUU